rnacentral:rRNA from 1 species
UACGGAGGGUGCAAGCGUUGUCCGGAUUUAUUGGGUUUAAAGGGUGCGUAGGCGGGUCUUUAAGUCAGUGGUGAAAGCCCACAGCUCAACUGUGGAACUGCCAUUGAUACUGGAGGUCUUGAAUUCUGUUAAGGUAGGCGGAAUUGAUGGUGUAGCGGUGAAAUGCAUAGAUACCAUCAGGAACACCGAUUGCGAAGGCAGCUUACUGGGCAUGAAUUGACGCUGAGGCACGAAAGCGUGGGGAGCGAACAGG